AGCGAACGCUGGCGGCAGGCUUAACACAUGCAAGUCGAGCGGGCCCUUCGGGGUCAGCGGCGGACGGGUGAGUAACGCGUGGGAACGUGCCUUCUGGUUCGGAAUAACUCAGGGAAACUUGAGCUAAUACCGGAUACGCCCUUUUGGGGAAAGGUUUACUGCCGGAAGAUCGGCCCGCGUCUGAUUAGCUAGUUGGUGGGGUAACGGCCUACCAAGGCGACGAUCAGUAGCUGGUCUGAGAGGGUGAUCAGCCACACUGGGACUGAGACACGGCCCAGACUCCUACGGGAGGCAGCAGUGGGGAAUAUUGGACAAUGGGCGCAAGCCUGAUCCAGCCAUGCCGCGUGAGUGAUGAAGGCCUUAGGGUUGUAAAGCUCUUUUAUCCGGGACGAUAAUGACGGUACCGGAGGAAUAAGCCCCGGCUAACUUCGUG
rnacentral:rRNA from 1 species